rnacentral:rRNA from 1 species
GCAAGUCGAGCGGGAUCCAAGAAGCUUGCUUUUUGGUGAGAGCGGCGAACGGGUGAGUAACGGGUGAAUAAUCUGCCCCCCAGUUGGGGAUAGCCCUCCUAACGGAGGAUUAAUACCGAAUAUUGUAUAGCAUCUUUUGUUGUCUAUACGAAAGACUUCGGUCGCUGGGGGAUGAGUUCGCUUAAGAUUAGCUAGUUGGUGAGGUAAUGGCUCACCAAGGCUACGAUCUUUAGCCGGCCUGAGAGGGUGAUC